UAACCAAUCACGCCCUGUGCGUGGACUUGGGGUUUCGCGGUCUCGCGUCCCUUAAAACCAGUGGCGGUGCUGUUAGGCUCUAAGCGUAGUAAUUCUUCUCGCUACAGGGUCUUGCGGUUACUUGCCAUAACCCCAACUUUCUUA
rnacentral:misc_RNA from 1 species